AAUGAUUAUUUUAAUGGCCGCGGUAUAUUGACCGUGCAAAGGUAGCAUAAUCAUUAGUCUUUUAAUUGAGGACUUGUAUGAAUGGUUGGACGAGAUAUUGACUGUCUUUAAUUUAUUAUUAUAAUUUUAAUUUUUAGUUAAAAUGCUAAAAUUGUUUUGGGGGACGAGAAGACCCUAUAGAUCUUUAUUAUUUAUUAAAUUGACUUAUUUGGUUUAAUUAUUUAUUGAUUUAUUUGAUUAUUUUGUUGGGGUGACAUGGAGAUAAAAAUAUAACUCUUUAUUUUUUUUUUUACAUUUAUUUUUGGUUUAUUGACCUUUUAUUAUUGUUAUAAGAUUUAGAUACCUUAGGGAUAACAGCGUAAUUUUAUUUGAGAGUUCAUAUCGACAAUAAAGGUUGCGACCUCGAUGUUGGAUUAAGAUUAUUAUUAGGUGUAGGGGCUUAAUUAAUAGGUCUGUUCGACCUUUAAAAUCUUACAUGAUCUGAGU
rnacentral:rRNA from 1 species